GCCAGCGUAGCUCAGUGGUAGAGCAGCGGUUUCGUAAACCGCUGGUCGUCGGUUCGACUCCGACCGCUGGCUCCA
rnacentral:tRNA from 1 species